AGCAGCAUUUGAGUUUGGUUGUGUUUAAUGUGGACCUGGACAAAGCAUGUGAAUUGCCUGGACAGAAUAAAGAAAACAGAUCUCCACUGCUCUUGAAGAAGGAUAAAUUCCGAAACGCGUUGAGCAUACAAUAAAUCUACUCGGCACCAGAGCCUGUCUUUCUUUCUUGCCUUUCUUCCAAGGAAACCAAACCUUGGAUAAAUGCUGGCACCCUUGGAAGUCUCGUACUACCUGGAGAUUGGAAAAUGUGCAACAAUACAUUUAAAGCAGAUGGCUUCCGCCAAAGAAUGUAGGAAACUGUAGUUUGUUAAAGGUGCAAGGAACUGAAGGCCUGUGAGGAGUAAACUAUGGUUCCCAGGAUACUUGGGGGGUAGCCAUGUGCUUUAUACAUGCUGUGUGGAUGUCUGUCUAUAACAGAACUGGAAGAGCACUUUGGAGCUGGAAGUCGAUUAUGACUUAUGGCGACCCUAUGAAUCAGCGACCAAGAGCAUCUGUCAUGAACCACCCUGUUCAGAUCUUGUGCACCUUCUGAAAGGGAAAAUCUCAUAAAAAUUGAGCAUGGGUCAUACUGGAUGGCAGCCUAUGAAUAUAUAACCAGAGAUCUUCUGGAUGUGGAGUAUUAGGCUGUGGUUGUGUCCUGGUAGUGUAUAUUAUCUAUCUUAUUUUCCACUCAAAAUACCAGUUCAGAGUAUAAUGGUUAGAUUCAAAACAAAGAGUAAGCUGCAAGACAGUGAUAAGAACAUAAAUAUGGCAAUAUGAAAUUGAGAGGUUAUUACUUAUUUCCUUCCACUUUCCUUUGGGUUACAUCAGAUCGUACAUAUCACAGGUUAUCUAUGAACAUCUUUGGAUAUGUAACUAAAACCCAUUGAUCUUUGAAGCCACUGGGACUGAUGAAGAGUAAAAAAGGUAAAGGUGUCCCCGCACUUAUAGUGCGAGUCGUUUCUGACUCUUAGGGUGACGUCUUGCGACGUUUACUAGGCAGACCGUAUAUAUGGGGUGGGAUUGCCAGUUCCUUCCCCGGCCCUUUUACCGGAGAUUCGACUUCCUCCUUCUGUUGGAAUCGAACUCCGUCUGUGAGCAGAGCUUUCGGCUGCAUUACCGCCACUUACCACUCUGCGCCACGGAGGACUGAUGAAGAGUAACUGGUAUAUUUAUCCAUUUUUCUGACAUGUAUCAUAUCCCACCUUUUUUCCAUUGUGGAAUCCAAGAUGGCAUACAUGAGAUUCCAAAGUGGUCACACAUCCAAAGUUUGAGAGUAAGUUACUGCCGUGCAUAUUUUACCAUCAUGCUGUGAGUGGAUUAGGCCCCCUAAAAUUUAAUUUUAAAAAGCCCAUCACAUAAUAGUUAACUGCAUGAUUUGUGUCUAGUUUGGUGCUUAGGAAUCUAGUGAAACACUAAUUCUUUGAAGGCCUGGAAAAGGCACUCUCGAAGCUCAGCAUUUUAAAGACUACAUGUUAGAACAAAGCCCUAACUUCUGUUUUCCUCAGAACAUUAAUCCAUGAGCAGUCCAAAGAUGGAAAGCUUAGGGUGGGUUCUCACAAAAUGUUUUUUUCUCAUGACCAUUGCCCAAAAACUUUUAUGAAAUCAUCUCCCCAGUGUACAACUGUGAAAAUUAUCAACAUUUCUGUUGCAUUAUUAAAAACAAAUAGCUAUAGUUUGAGUUUCUUGACUACAAUAUAUCUAGUUUGAAAGAA